AGACAGAGGGUGCAAACGUUGUUCGGAAUCACUGGGCGUAAAGCGCGUGUAGGCGGCAAGGCAAGUCGGAUGUGAAAGCCCAGGGCUCAACCCUGGAAGUGCACUCGAAACUGCUUAGCUAGAGUCCCGGAGAGGAAGGUGGAAUGCUUGGUGUAGAGGUGAAAUUCGUAGAUAUCAAGCGGAACACCGGUGGCGAAGGCGGCCUUCUGGACGAGGACUGACGCUGAGACGCGAAAGCGUGGGGAGCAAACAGGAUUAGAUACCCCAGUAGUCC
rnacentral:rRNA from 1 species